UUUUUCUCGAAAUUUAUGAUUAUUAACUCUUUUUUUCUUUUCUUUUAGUUCCAAAAAAAGGAGACAGCAAAUUUUAUGGACGUCACAUAUAUAUAUAUAAAUAUAUCAAGGACAACACAACGUUUACGCUUCUUUCCGGAGGAAACAGAUUUUGAACGCCAGGCAAACCCUCAAAUGAAGCUGGACUUGUUGACUGGUCCUUUUACAAUGCCGGCGUUCUGGGCGGGAUCAAUAACCGGCACAGCAAAAAGCUCAAAGUUGCAGCUGGCCAGUUUACAAUUCAAAUCUCCACACCCUCAAUGUAACUUUUUUGGCUUUUUUUUCCUGUGGACAACUUGCCACUACCUUGCGUUACCAAAAAGAAAAGGCAAUUUCCCGCCGUUGUGCUGACCAAAACCGGACAAUUUUCGGUGCUUCCAAAAAAGGCUUGAUACACCACCGGAAUAUUCCUGUUGGAGCAACACACAUCACAUAUAACAACACAAUACUCAACAAACCACUGUUACAAACUACUUACACAAUAAAAAAAAAUCGCAACACACAAA